rnacentral:rRNA from 1 species
GACGAACCGAGCGAACGUUAUUCGGAAUCACUGGGCUUAAAGGGUGCGUAGGCGGCGCGGUAAGUCGGGUGUGAAAUCUCGGAGCUUAACUCCGAAACUGCAUUCGAUACUGCCGUGCUUGAGGACUGGAGAGGAGACUGGAAUUUACGGUGUAGCGGUGAAAUGCGUAGAUAUCGUAAGGAAGACCAGUGGCGAAGGCGGGUCUCUGGACAGUUCCUGACGCUGAGGCACGAAGGUCAGGGGAGCAAACGGG